rnacentral:rRNA from 1 species
GAUGAACGCUGGCGGCGUGCUUAAUACAUGCAAGUCGAGCGAACAGACGCGGAGCUUGCUCCUCUCACGUUAGCGGCGGGCGGGUGUGUAACACGUAUAUAACCCACCUAUAUGACUGGGAUAACUUCGGGAAACCGGAGCUAACACCGGAUAAUAUAUUGAACCGCAUGGGUGAAUAGUGAAAGACGGUGUUGCUGUCACUUAUAGAUGGAUCCGCGCCGCAUUAGCUAGUUGGUAAGGUAACGGCUUACCAAGGCAACGAUGCGUAGCCGACCUGAGGGGGUGAUCGUCGACACGAGAACGGAGACAAGCUCCAGACUACUACGGGACGCAGCAGUAGUGAAUGCGGUGCAAGUGUCGAAAGUCUGACGGAGGACCCCCGCGAGAGAGAUGAAGACGUUCGGUUCGUAAAAAACUGUUACGAGGGGAAAACAGAUUUGUAAGUAACUCUGCACGUCGUGACGGUACCUAAUUAAGAAGCCCCGGCUAACUACGUG